rnacentral:lncRNA from 1 species
GAUGAAGUUAUCAUACAGGGUCACGUGUAGUAAAAAGACUAAGAUAGAAAACAAAAGCAUAAAAUAAUAUAAUAACACCCAAUUAAAUAAAACUAGAAGCGCAAAGAUAAAAAACAGGGAGUGUGUCUAGACCAAACCCGUAAAGAUUAGGGUGCAGCAAUGCAAUGCAGGGUGGCAUGAGAUCUGUUUGGCCCCAAUCUUAGGCCUUUUUUUUAUUUCCAAAUCAGAAAGCAUUUAGGGUUCUCUUCUUCUUCCGCGUAGAACCAAGGUUUGGCUGGCUUCAUUGUCCACAGUAGAUCCAUGGUUCCAGACUAGCGCUGCCGCACACCUCCUUGGCCUACCAACAGUCACUGCCGAUGGUGUUGCCUACGCCAGAAACGUUAUCGUUUUUCGUGAGCCACCGCCGCAGGAACACCAACCCCUAGUCAGACCACCACCGUGAGCAACCACCGCGCCUCCGAAAGUCAACACGAACUCCAAUCGCACAGCCGCGAUGAUCACCACGUGAAUCUCCUCUUUUAUUCUCAAAUGCACUCUAGUCUAUUACACACAUUCUAUUUUGGGUUGGGAUCUCACGUUGAUGAGGUUUUACAUGUUUUCCUUUUUUUUAAUAAAACUUUAUUUGUUUCUUGGAUUUGUUCCAGUGCCGACAGGAAAUGGAUUUGUUGGGGAAUAAAACUUAGUCUCUAUUGUUAUUUAAGUCUGAUGGGAUUUACUGAAAUUACAUUUUGUAUAGCUUUGAUUAACGUAUUAUAUCUCAAAGAACACAACCAUGCAUUACAUUCAUAACCAGACAUGUAACAGAGACAUGAGAUGUAAUAGAGGAGCAUGCAUUCACAUAGAACCAAGCUUAGACACGACAACUUACCUCCGCUGCUUUAAAAGAAAGGGUGAAAGAAACUGAUGAAGGCGGAUGGUUCUCCUCUCCUCUGGCCGUGAGGUCCCUUCCUACCAAGUAGUGAUGAUCGGUGAUGGCUUAGAGUCUCCAAUGUUUGGUGAUGGUAAGGUGUUUCUUUCGAUGAAUGAUGUUCCCCCCUUUUGGUUGUUGUGAUGGUGAAUAAUAUAUGAUCCCCAAUUCUCUCAGGCGUGAUAAAGGAAAUCAAAUAUCCUCAAUAAUCAGUCUCGUCGGAUUUUUUAGGAAACUGAUUUCCCUCCCCAGAAAAACGUCCCUUUAUUUCAUUUCUCUGUUUCCUUUCUGGAUGGUCAAGGCGUAUUCCCCGAGAAUUUCCUCCUUGUUUCUUUCUUCUUUUUAUGUUUNAAUUGGAUCGAUUAAGNAAACAAUUUAAAUAUCNCNUCCCCUUUUGUAGCUGAUUGCAGCUAAUUGGUAUCCGAUUGCAGUUACUUGNUAUCNGANUGCANUAAUGUGUAAAGAUUUUUGUCGUGGAAUGUGAUAUUUUGCGGAAAGAACUGAUCUUGCGUCUCACUUGUUUUUGAUUUUUUUUCUUUAAAAGAGACUAAAUAAAAUAC